GUGCAGGCGCGUGCUAUACAUGCAGUCGAGCGGACAGAUGGGAGCUUGCUCCCUGAUGUUAGCGGCGGACGGGUGAGUAACACGUGGGUAACCUGCCUGUAAGACUGGGAUAACUCCGGGAAACCGGGGCUAAUACCGGAUGGUUGUUUGAACCGCAUGGUUCAAACAUAAAAGGUGGCUUCGGCUACCACUUACAGAUGGACCCGCGGCGCAUUAGCUAGUUGGUGAGGUAAUGGCUCACCAAGGCAACGAUGCGUAGCCGACCUGAGAGGGUGAUCGGCCACACUGGGACUGAGACACGGCCCAGACUCCUACGGGAGGCAGCAGUAGGGAAUCUUCCGCAAUGGACGAAAGUCUGACGGAGCAACGCCGCGUGAGUGAUGAAGGUUUUCGGAUCGUAAAGCUCUGUUGUUAGGGAAGAACAAGUACCGUUCGAAUAGGGCGGCACCUUGACGGUACCUAACCAGAAAGCCACGGCUAACUACGUGCCAGCAGCCGCGGUAAUACGUAGGUGGCAAGCGUUGUCCGGAAUUAUUGGGCGUAAAGGGCUCGCAGGCGGUUUCUUAAGUCUGAUGUGAAAGCCCCCGGCUCAACCGGGGAGGGUCAUUGGAAACUGGGGAACUUGAGUGCAGAAGAGGAGAGUGGAAUUCCACGUGUAGCGGUGAAAUGCGUAGAGAUGUGGAGGAACACCAGUGGCGAAGGCGACUCUCUGGUCUGUAACUGACGCUGAGGAGCGAAAGCGUGGGGAGCGAACAGGAUUAGAUACCCUGGUAGUCCACGCCGUAAACGAUGAGUGCUAAGUGUUAGGGGGUUUCCGCCCCUUAGUGCUGCAGCUAACGCAUUAAGCACUCCGCCUGGCGAGUACGGUCGCGAGACUGAAACUCAAAGGAAUUGACAGGGGCCCGCACAAGCUUUGGAGCAUGUGGUUUAAUUCAAAUCAUCGCCCAACAACAUUAACCCGUCCUGGACAUCCUCUGACA
rnacentral:rRNA from 1 species